GCUAAUGUAGCUUAUCUCUUAAAGCGUAACACUGAAGAUGUUAGGAUGAGCCCUGGAAAGCUCCGUAAGCA
rnacentral:tRNA from 1 species